AACGAACGCUGGCGGCAGGCUUAACACGUGCAAGUCGAACGCAUCCUUCGGGGUGAGUGGCAGACGGGUGAGUAACGCGUGGGAACGUGCCCUUCAGUUCGGGAUAACCCAGGGAAACUUGGGCUAAUACCGGAUACGUGCGAGAGCAGAAAGAUUUAUCGCUGAAGGAUCGGCCCGCGUCUGAUUAGCUGAGUUGGUGGGGUAAUGGCCCACCAAGGCGACGAUCAGUAGCUGGUCUGAGAGGAUGAUCAGCCACAUUGGGACUGAGACACGGCCCAACCUCCAAGGGGGGGCAGGUGGGGGGAAGUUUGGACAGGGGGCGAAAGCUGGAUCCAGCCAUGCCGGGGGGGUGAUAAGGGCCUUGGGGUUGUAAAGCUUUUUCGCCGGGGACGAUAAUGACGGUACGGGAAGAGGAACCCCCGGCUAACUUCGGGCCAGCCGCCGCAGUAA
rnacentral:rRNA from 1 species